rfam:Oscillibacter valericigenes Sjm18-20 DNA, complete genome.
UAUAAUAAAUCGUGCGUUCCAAAGACAGCAGGUGGGGGGAUGACCCCGGAAAUCCUGCCGAGGGCGGCUUUUUUACAAAGCUCUUCCGUCCCUGUGUCUUUACGGUACAGGGACGGUUUUCUUUUUAGAAC